AGGAGGUGCUUUAAGAAGAGCAUACUCAUAAACCAGAGGCAGUGUGGUCUGUUACAGGAGGUUCAAUUCUCUGUUAUUGAAGACACAGUGGUUGCAGUGAUCGGCCUUUUGCAGAAGAUUGAAAGGGCCAUUUGGCACAAGCUUGGAAGACAAAGGCACUACAUGAAAAUCUGACUAUUACUGACAUUUUGAAUAUAGCUACCUUCAAAAUCCAGAAGAAAGAAGCAGAAAAUACUAGGUUUUGGUGUAUACCUUCAUGGUUUAUACAUAUUAUCAUAUGUGAUUUUCACAGCCAUCCUAUAAAAUGAUUUUUAUUUA